rnacentral:tRNA from 1 species
GGUAUUGUGGGUCAGCAGUUCAGCGCUCGCCUAGCACGUGUGAGGCCCUGGGUUCGAUCCUCAGCACCA